UCCAGCCAAACUAAAACAAAUGAGACUUACUCCAGAAUUAUAUUUGAAAAAUAUAUCAUGGAAAAACUGAAAAGGUUCUUGAUCUGUUCAAUUUCACUUGGGAAAUAUUUUAAAGAGAACAAAAAUUUCUCAUCAGGACUAAUAAUUUUGACUUAAACUAUAUAUAGGCCACAAACCCACAGGGGUGACUGGUUUGUAUUUGUAGGGCUAUGAUAUGAAUGAAUGAAUGAAUGAAUGAAUGAAUGAAUGAAUGAAUGAAUGAAUGAAUGAAUGAAUGAAUGAAUGAAUGGACGGACGUGUGAACGAACGAACAUGGGAAAUAAAUCUCCCCCUUCUUGCUCUAGCUCUUAUUUUUCUGAGCACACACAGUUCCCUUUGUAGCUCUAAGUUGCACAUCUUGUGCUACUUCUCUAUUUAGUGUAUUUCCUGUUAGAUAAGGACAAAAACAAAUCGUCAAAAUUAGUUUAGAUGAGAAAGGGUAAACCUCAGCAUGUCUGCAGCCAGUACGACUUCCACAAUCAGAGUGGAAACGCCUUUUUCCUGCAGGAGGCACAGUGUGAGCUCAGUCGAUGACGGGACACUCAGACUUCUGAAGCGGCACGAUUCAGUCCGAAAUGCUGCACAGAGAUAAAUAGGAAAAUGCCUGUGUUGAAAAAAAUCCCAAUUACCCACCAGUCGUGAAUUAUGUCAAUAUGUCUCUGCGACAUGUGAUUCGCUCGAGUGUUUGUAAACAUGCGUCAAAAGCAUGUGAUUCUUUUGACGACAUUCUGCGUUCUGGACGGACAGCCAAUCAGAAAACGGGGGUGUGUGAGGUGGGCGGAGCCUCGCCUGUGGCGCUGUGGAAAAUUCUGUGUGCUCGGCAACAAGACGCUUUACAAUUGAAAACUGGAGUUCGAGCCAAUAUCAUCCGUCGUUUGAUGUCGCGAAAAGAUUGAAAAACUCGACUACAACUGCGUUCAGUGGAUCCUUCAUGAAGAGUUACUGCAGCACUUUCAAGACUCAUCUUGAUCAUCUUCUGUGAAGGAAGUCUGGCCAGAAUUGGAGGUGUGAGCUUUUCUACUCCUUUUUUUUUUCUUCUUCUUCUUAGUGGUUUGAGGUGUGAAUAUGUCAACAAAGACUUUGAGGCUUUGAGUUGCUUCUAUUUAAUAAAAGCUCAGAAUAAAGAGUACAUUGUAGAUAUUAAUGAGAUGAAAUAAUGGUUGAUUAGCAUUUGCUUAUGCUGGUAAAUGCCAUAUGUUUAAAACUACAGCAUUAUAUUAUAGCUAUACAGAUAUGAUAUACAUUAAUAAUA